rnacentral:rRNA from 1 species
AUUGAACGCUGGCGGCAGGCCUAACACAUGCAAGUCGAACGAGUGGCGGACGGGUGAGUAAUGUCUGGGAAACUGCCUUAUGGAGGGGGAUAACUACUGGAAACGGUAGCUAAUACCGCAUCCCAUCGGAUGUGCCCAGAUGGGAUUAGCUAGUAGGUGGGGUAAAGGCUCACCUAGGCGACGAUCCCUAUCUAGUCUGAGAGGAUGACCAGCCACACUGGAACUUAGACACGUGCCAGACUCCUACGGGAGGUAGCAGUGGGGAAUAUUGCACAAUGUGCGCAAGCCUGAUGCAGCCAUGCCGCGUGUAUGAAGAAGGCCUUCGAGUUGUAAAGUACUUGCAGCGGGGAGGCGUUACCCGCAGAAGAAGCACCGGCUAACUCCGUGCCAGCAGCCGCGGUAAUAC